rnacentral:rRNA from 1 species
UACAGAGGAUGCAAGCGUUAUCCGGAAUGAUUGGGCGUAAAGCGUCUGUAGGUGGCUUUUUAAGUCCGCCGUCAAAUCCCAGGGCUCAACUCUGGACAGGCGGUGGAAACUACCAAGCUGGAGUACGGUAGGGGCAGAGGGAAUUUCCGGUGGAGCGGUGAAAUGCGUAGAGAUCGGAAAGAACACCAACGGCGAAGGCGGCACCCUGGACCAGCACUGACACUGAGGCACGAAAGCGUGGGGAGCAAACAGG